CUUCCCAGUCUCCUCGGGGUGGUCCCUUCAGCGCGCGCAAGCUCGGUUUGUCGUUUGGUUCCGCGCAUGCGCUGUGCUGCGAAGUCCGUUAGAAUGUGCGGGCGUCUUGUCGUUUUCCCGCCCAAAAGCUGCUGAGUCGCUCGUCUCGGGGUGGAGGAGCUUUCACUGCUACCCUGAGAGGCAGAAAGACACCCCCCCGCCCUCCCUAGAGCCUUACUAUCCAGUUUAUAGGUGUUACAGUAUAAACACCUGGUCAUGCUCCACAUGUAGCUAGAUCAUGCGCCAGUGCAGGGGUAGCGGGGCACCGUUGUGCGGGGCUGAGGUACCCACCUGCCGCGUGCUCAUCUUUGAAACGUCGGUGCUUUGUGCCAAAGACCCUUGCGCUAUUGGGGCGUGAAUACUUUGCAGCGUAAAACGAGCAUGUAUCUGCAUCGGAUGGCUUCGGGGUUGGAAACGCUGGUGCCGGGUGUCUCAGCAGGGGCUGAACUUCCCCGCGGGAGAGCGGUCAGGAACUCCGGCGGGCCGCCUGACCGUGGCAAUCGCAUUGUGACGCAGGGUAAAGCUGACGUUUCGGGUCCCCAGGGUGAUUUCACGACGCCAAUGCUGGCCUUCUGGUAAGAACAAGUACGUGAGGGUCAUAACCCUGCGCUCUCCGUUGCUGGCUCACCGUGGGACUCCGACAAGCCUGUUAAUGGCCGUAUGUCUUACUUCCCACGUGGAAAACAGCGAUAAUAAAUUGUACCAUUAAUCCUACAAUGACUUUUACAGCACGUGGCGUAUUGCUUGCUUAUAGUGCUUUAAAGAAAUUAAUAAAUUAUAAGAUGCUUAUUAUUAAGUUGGCCUGUCUAUAGUAGCUGACUUAAUGAAGCACUCGUUACAGAAGCAUCUGGUCGUUCAGGUCGUGAUUGACAUGGUAAUGUAUAAUUCACUUAACAAACAAAUGCAGAAGUUAUUACUUCAGGUUUUCAUAGUCCUGAAAUACCAUUCUUCCAGCAACAGAUGCUCCCGUUUCAUUUCCUGACUUUUCUGUUGGAUCAUUUUAAGUGCUAGAAUACAAGUGAAACCAGAGCAGCUACAAACAUGCGCUCCCACUCUCUUAUUCCCACGUUACUUCAAAUGCAAUGAAAUGUUGGAAAUCGUAUCAGUGCCGUAGCUGACCUGGAAAAGGAGGCUGUAUACUUCAUCUUCCUAAACAGAAGUAAAGAAUCAUGAUGGUUAUUGUGUCCGAGCAAAGCACUGAAUCACAUUAGUAGCCUUUGAAAUGUAACUUGUAAGUUACACCACAGCUGUUUCCCUUUCAGGGGCUAUCCUAUCUAGAAGUGGACAUUUGUGCUGAGUAUGAUUUGGAACAAAUAUAUAUUAAAAUCCUAUUCACACACAUAUGCACACGAGUUUCUUUAGAAGAACCUGAAAUAGGCGGUGCAAAAGCAGGCAAGAUUAAAUUUACACUCUGAAUACACUGUAACAGCUGUGUAAUACCAAACUGUUUUCUAGUUCAGUGGUUCUCAACCUUUUUUGUACCAGGAUCCAUUUGUAAACAUCAACGACUAGUCCCAACCCAGUGCUCCUUACUUGUGACCUGCUGCCCUGAGCCCCCCAUUGUGUGUGUGGGGGGGGGGGGACGGGGGGGGCCCAAGCAGCAAACUGCCAGCCUGCAAGGGAAAGGCCACGGUUUCCCAUGUUUUUCUCCUGUAAAGGAGAAUCCAUUUUCAAAGUUCAUUCAUGACCCUUUCAUAUAUUCUUGCGACUCACUUUGGGGUCACAACCCACAGGUUGAGAAACGCUGUUCUAGUUGGUACAUCAAAGUUUACUCUUAGAAAAUUGUAUGAAACACUGAAGUUGCCACAUAAAAUUUGAUCUUUAGCAUAUAUACAUGUUCUUGGGGUAAUUACAUUCUUUUCCCAAAACCCUGUGGAAUUGGGAGCUAAUAGAAACAGUUCAGAGCAAGAUAGAUCUUGUCUCUUUAGUGCUCAUAAUUACAAGGUGUGGUAAUGCAGAAGGUAGGACAGGGUGGCAUCACUAACUGAUUCAGAAGCAUGAGCUUUCAUAGGCAACAGCCUCUGGCGAACUAUGAAGACUUAUGCCUCUUUGAGCCAGUUAGUCUCUGAGGUGCUACCCUGCCCUACCAUCUACCUGACUUCAGACUAACAGCAAAUUACCAAGGCAGAAAUGUAAACAUUGUCAUGAAGUGUUCUCUGUAAUUUCACUUGACUUUGAGGGAGGGUGGAUCCACCAUCCUUUCAAAACAAGUAUUUUCAAUAGAUAAAUGAUAACUAAUAUCCCAGAGAGGAAGACACGAUUCUUAGCAUAAACAAGGGCCUCCGGUUCCUAAAAUCUUGAAGUAAAACACUGAACAAAGGACUUGUAUGGAACCUCAUAUCUCAGCAGCAGUGGAAUGUGCCAUGAUUAGUUCAGCUGUAUAGCUGGCAAUGUUAAAUAAUUUGGACAUUGCAGUACAGGCAGUCCUCAGACUUACGAGACAAUUGGUUCCUGAAAACCACGUCUUAAGCUGAAAUGUUGUAACUUGGAACCGAUUUUCCCAUAGGAAACAAUGUUAUAAAUGGGGGAUUGGUUCCUGAACCAAGGCCCGAUACUCUUAUUUUCACCAAAAAUAACCCAGAAUUUGAACACAAUCAAUUAUAGAUGAGUAAUACAUCAAUGUAUUUAUAUUGUAAAUAGCAAUCAUAUUGAUUUGGAAGGACUUCUUUGAGGAGACUUUGCUAGGCAGUUUGAAGGACUCUUGGUUGGAGUUUUUGAAGCGUUCUUGGCUAGAGUCUCAGCUGCAGUUUUUUCUGGAAUCUUGUCUGCCUUCUUCAAGAAAGUGUCCAAGGAAGUUUGGACAGCUGUUCUCCAGGGAGAUGGGUGAUGCAGCAAACUUGUUCACUGGUGUGACUUGGCAUCAGAUCAAGUGUAAAAUCGAAACUGAUGUCAUAAAGUUGAAACAGGGUGUCAAUUUAUAAACGUAAGUGCAAAAUGUUGUAACUCGAAACAUUGUAAGUCGAGGACUGCCUGUACAUUUGCUUUUAGAUUGUUUUAUAGAAGCUUAGGUGCAACAUGUUAGAAACAAUUUCAGUUAUCACUGUUUUGAGGGUAUACUACAUUCCCUAUAAUUUUGUUUCCUUUUGUGUAGCGGAACCUGUAUUUGCUGACCUUUACUUUGAGAUAGUAAAUUGAAUAGAUUGUGAGUUGUGUUGUGGAAGAAGAUUAAUUUGUAGUAACUUGGGAACACUUAUGUAGAUAUUAAAACAAUGUAUUUUUAUGUACUAAAAAUCAUCAGUGCUUUCUUAGGUGGGUGCUUUAAUUGAAUAAAAAAAAAAAUACAUUUUAUGUCAUUGUGAGUCUAAACCAACAUAUUAUACAUUUUUGUCACAGGCGUUACAAAUUACAGUGAUUACAAUUCUAUUUAAUGACAAAAAUAUUUUUAGUUCGAUUAGUUUAGAAAGUGUCAAAUCUCUUGUAUAAUUCAUUUUUCAGCUGUAGCUUUGUUUGUUAAAGCAUUGUGGUUUUCUGGGAAUGUACUGUUAGAACAUUAAUAUCCUUUUGUUAUAUUUCCUCGUCUAGCUAGCAGCAGUUACUGAGCAACUUACAAACAUUACCUUUUUGAGCUCUUGAAUAGUUUCAUGCAGCACACAGCUUUAAAAUAACUUUCUUCCCAAGUUCUGGCAAAUGGCCUGAAUCUAUUCUGGGGAUCUUGUAUACAUGUGUAACUCCUCCUGAACUCAAAAGCUUUAGAGCUUAUUCAUACAAAUACAGCAUGCCUCAGUUACUGGCAUUGCUGUGCCAGUACAACUCCUCUUGCAGACGCUCUGAUUUCAGAAUAAGGAUGCUUUUUCCUUAUCUAGAUUAUUUUGCAUUCAGAGUAUACGAGGUAAGCCAGAAAAAGCACUCUAGUUCUAAGCUAAGGGUGUCCACAUGAUGAGGUCUAGCAGUAAGCUAUGUUGGUAGUUUUCCCUGCAUAGAGGAGAUCAGAUUCUGUUCCCAGUCAAGUCGCUUGAAAAACUUCCACUAACCUCAAUGUAGAGUAGGGCUGCUAGUAUAUAUAAUAGAAUCCAUUUACCUGGAAACCUGAAAAAUGGCAUGACUACCAACGAACAUUUUAGUGAGAAAACAAAAGGUCUGGUGGUGUCACAGUACAUGCCAUAUAGGUCAAUUCAAUGUCAAUAAUAAAGUAGGAUGAAUGAUAAUGCUUUUUUUAAAAGAAGCUGAACUUUGCAAAGAUGAUCAGUUGAGAGUAACAGGUGUUAGGAAACCUACUUCCCAUCUUCAAUUCCAUGCAUUUUAUGCCUCAACCUAGACAGUAAACAGUGAUCUAAUCUGAAAACAGGAUUUUCCAGUCAUGCUAAUCAGGACUAUUACAAGGAUGCUUCAUUAUUUUUAGAUCUGGAAAAUAUCAUGAAUUGCCUAAUUUUUGGUUUAAUUUCUUUUGGUCUUGAACACUUAACUGUGUUUGCAAUUCCUUUUUUAUGUUGGUUAACAAGUCAUUUAUAUUGUUUAAUUGCUGAGUAGGUGCAAUAUGCUUUCCAGCUCUUAACAUGCUUCUGCUUAUAUUACUCUUACAGAUACAGCUGUGCAUAACAACCAUAAAUGUCUGAUUCCUCCUUGCUGGAUAAGAAGUAGAUGGCAGAUUUUUGUUGAGGAUUCUAUUUUACCAGAAGGUCUCCUGCCCUGUGGACAGAUGCCCUAACCCAUAAGCUGUCAUGCUAAACCAUGGAAGGGAGUUCCACCAGCAUCUAACAGGUGCUAGUCAUUGGUUUUUGUUUGGCUACAAUUUCAGGGCAUAUGUUGCCUUACAUGCCUACCUGGGUGAGGAUAUGGUACUACCUACCUGCAAGCCAGAGUACAGCCCUGCUGAACGUGCUCCCUGGGUAUGUGCAUAUUUACAUGCCCAGAACUGUAUCAACCUAUGUGUAUGUGUUGAAAACUGUAGUUACAUAGGUGGUAACUGCUAUUUAUGUACAUAAAGUGAAAUGUGAUUUUGUCCCUACUAUUUAAAGACCAUCCUCUUCAUUUCAUACAGGUGACCAAAUGGCGAUCACCUAGCAAUGUAGAUUUGAAAGGCUCUAUAUCCCAUUAACAAGUCCCUGCUAGCAAACCUAUUAGAUUUAUAAACGCGUAUACAGUUCAAUUUUCAUGCUUCUAUUAAGAUACCUCUUAUUUCAGGAGAAGCUCACUCUUGUAGUAAACACUUAGGAAAUUUGAGUUUAAAACCUGGUGUUCUACCUGUGUUGCUUUGGGCAAAUCUCUUCACUUCAUUUAAUCUCUAAAAUGCUUAGAGUAGUACUGAACUAUGUCAUGGGAGGUGGCUGGUCCAAAAUAUAAGUUGAAAUUCCCUGAUGAAAACUGCUGUAAAUGAAAAAUAUUGUUAUAUUUCACAUACCCAACAAGCUGUGACAAAAGUAACUAGACACUUACCAAUAGCUUUCAAGAACUCUUCAUAGUUCUCUUGAGCAUAGACCUGCCAAGUUCCACUGAAUGCCAUUAUGGAUGAUAUGGUGUAGUAUGGGCAGCGAUGCCAGGAAGAGAAUGGAGGACUCUUCUAUCAAAGUGAUGCUAUUUAUACUAAGGGAAAAAUCUAGCUCAUUUCAUGCAAUGAUUUGGUAAUCAUUAACAAUAAAGUAUCAAUUAUUAAUCA